UACACGCUGUGACUAGCAUAUCAAUAAGCGGAGGAAAAGAAACUAACAAGGAUUCCCCUAGUAACGGCGAGUGAAGCGGGAAGAGCUCAAAUUUGAAAUCUUAAAGGGUUUCCCUUUACGAAUUGUAGUUUAAAGAAGUGUUUUCUGUUGAGGUUUUGGUAAAAGUUCUUUGGAAUAGGACAUCAUAGAGGGUGAGAAUCCCGUAUUUGACCUUUACUUUCAACUUUGUGAUACACUUUCAAAGAGUCGGAUUGUUUGGGAAUGCAGUCCAAAAUGGGUGGUAAAUUUCGUCUAAAGCUAAAUAUUGGCGAGAGACCGAUAGCGAACAAGUACCGUGAGGGAAAGAUGAAAAGAACUUUGAAAAGAGAGUUAAACAGUACGUGAAAUUGUCAAAAGGGAAGCGUUUGACACCAGUGUUGUUUUUCUGAAAAUCAAUUAAAGAACUGUUUAUGCUAAGCUUGUUUAGACUUUAUCAGCUAAUCUGUUUAGUUUUGAGCUUUUCUUUAAUGCACUUUUCAGUUAACAAGUCAACAUCAAUUUCUUUUGCUGUAAAAAAGCUUGAGGAAGGUGGCUUGAGAUUCGUCUUAAGUGUUUAUAGCCUCUUGCCUAUGCAGUCGGAGAGAUUGAGGUCUGCAGCGUAGAUCCUUCGGGGCUAGAUGCAUUUGCGCUAAGUUAUAGCAUUUUAUAGACAACUUGUUGACUAUGAUUUGUCUUGUAGCUUACUCGCUUAUGUUAUUUUACCUACGCUUAGGAUGUUGAGUCGUAGAGCACGCAG
rnacentral:rRNA from 1 species